rnacentral:rRNA from 1 species
UUCGGUAGGUGAACCUGCGGAGGGAUCAUUACACAAAUAUGAAGGCGGGCUGGAACCUCUCGGGGUUACAGCCUUGCUGAAUUAUUCACCCUUGUCUUUUGCGUACUUCUUGUUUCCUUGGUGGGUUCGCCCACCACUAGGACAAACAUAAACCUUUUGUAAUUGCAAUCAGCGUCAGUAACAAAUUAAUAAUUACAACUUUCAACAACGGAUCUCUUGGUUCUGGCAUCGAUGAAGAACGCAGCGAAAUGCGAUAAGUAGUGUGAAUUGCAGAAUUCAGUGAAUCAUCGAAUCUUUGAACGCACAUUGCGCCCUUUGGUAUUCCAAAGGGCAUGCCUGUUCGAGCGUCAUUUGUACCCUCAAGCUUUGCUUGGUGUUGGGCGUCUUGUCUCUAGCUUUGCUGGAGACUCGCCUUAAAGUAAUUGGCAGCCGGCCUACUGGUUUCGGAGCGCAGCACAAGUCGCACUCUCUAUCAGCAAAGGUCUAGCAUCCAUUAAGCCUUUUUUUCAACUUUUGACCUCGGAUCAGGUAGGGAUACCCGCUGAACUUAAGCAUAUCAAUAAGCGGAGGAA